GUUGGCUGAGGUGUACGAAAAGAUAGCGCAGUCGUUGGUUUCUUACUUGAAAACAAAAUACCGUAGCAUUAAUUAAAAAAGUUUCGAAAUUAGUAAAUAGAUAUAAAUGUGUUCGUUGAGAAAAUAUGAGAUAUACACGUAUUUUCUUUUAAUAUAUUGACAGUUGAUUUCAGCUUUCCUUGAUGAAAAAUAACAAGACUCCUGUACGCUUGAAAUCAAGUAAUUACCAGACAUCUCUGAGGGUUCGUGCAUGUCCACAAAAUCUCCCUCAUAGUUCAACUUUACACUCUGCAGUUCAUCCAUGGUGCGUUGUGGACCGUCUGGGAGAAAUAUCGAACACAGAGAAGAGUUACUGCCACACACGGUGAUUACCGCCCUUUGAAGAGCCGCUAACGAGACAUCUAGCGUUCUUAUUACGUCAGACGCUUGCAUACGUGUGACGUCAUUGACGCUUGGCGAUGGUAUCCUGUUAACAGAUCUUUCCUGCGCAUACUUGGAUAUCCACAUGUUUUUUGUAGUAGUUUUAACGGACUGCCCCGCAAUAAGCCUGUUUAAAUGAUUGUUGAACAUUGCGUUCUGUUUUGCGUAUCUCUGAAACAAUAUUGUGCCGUACGGUAACGGAAUCGGCGUGAAAUCGACCCAGUUUUCUCUACUCUCAAUAAUUAUCCAUGUUUUUACAACUAAUCGUGAAGUCAGGCUUCGGAAGAAAUAGUCAAUAUCCCCAGACGUUCCAAAGAUCAACACCGUGCUCGCGCUGGAUGUUGUGAUGGUAUCAACAACCGGUGAAAUCUCGUGCGAUGCACGUGGCAAAUGUCUGUGAAACGCAAUGCAUACAUUAUUUGAUUUAGUGCUGUCGGACAAGGAAUCUAUAGAAAAGCCGGUCAUAUUCUGGGACGUCAGAAGCCCUAUGUGGGUCCAGUUCAUCGCCUUUAAGAAUUCCGCGACAGCGUCAUAACUGUACAUAGACGGAUCAUAUACUAGCCCGCCCUUCACGUAGAUUCUGCCUAACGGGUCCAUUUGCAAUGCUAACUUCCCUAUUGCCCCAGCUCCAUUAGGCAAUUGAUGUGCGUCAAAGUCAAACGAUAGAUACACUGGGACUUUUAAGGGCGUCGGGGACCAAUGCUGCGAAUGAUUAAAUGCAUAUUUACAAGACUCAAAAUUAGCCAAUAUCUGGGCCCCUCUAUUAAAGUCAGAACAAGUGUCAAACAGAAUCGCUCCAAUGGAUAUGUUCCUAAAAUUUGACGGAUGCCUACUUUUGUAGCUCUGCACACCGAACAAGAACGCCUCGGAAAUGACGUCAUAGUUGUCGCGGGGUCUUAGCCCGCUACACGUGUUACCAGCACCAAUUUUGUUCCACACAGCUGAUAGAGGAACCAUUGCCGCAAUGACGAGGUCCCCGGGGAUGUAGACGUACUCCCCGUCGAACAUCAAAUUGUCCGCACUUUUGAAGCAGAGGGACGCGUUACAUCCCGGGCACCACGUGGUACAUGCGCUUUGCGGGAAAGGCUCCGAGCUAGCUAUCCAGUACGAUACGUCUGGGGUUACUUCCUUAUCACGUGUCGUUGAAAACACGCCCUUCUGUAAAUACACAAUAAAGUCUUAUCUGUAAUAAUACAGACUGUGCAUAUUGUAUUAAGAGAUUUUAGCAUUUCACAAUUGGUUGAUGAUUGAAGCCAUAAACCAAAAUGCAACUACCGACCGAGUAACAAUUGAAUGCAUAUUCAAUUUGCGGUAUAGCUUUCAUAUAUUUUCAUACUAAUACACACAA